UGGAGGAGUGGCGGUGGAGAAGAGAGGAGAGAGGAGGAGGAUGAGGAAGAAGGGAGAGAUCCGUUGCUCCCUGUGUAACGAGAUUCCCAGCUAAUCAGUGACUUUCCUGCCUUAUCUUUGCCAUCAGGACACUCGGGAGGCCGAGUAACCCAGGACGAGCUGAUGUCAUGCUGAGAUGGCUCAUGCAAGAGUAUGUGUCUACAUUCCUGUUACUGGUUUGACUGGCAGAGAAGAAGAGGACUGCUGGCCAGUACACAUGUAUGCCCAGAGCAGGCCAGACAGGCUGACUUUGGAGGGGAAUUGCAAAGGAAUGGUCGGUGAAAAAACAAGCGAGCCAGUGUCUGCAGCAGAGGAGGUUGGGCCGCAGGUGGCUAGGAGGCACGCUUGGGUUGGCGCACUAGCCCUCGUCAGAUGCCAACAGUGACAUUUCCUGACUAUGGCUAUACACAAGCAGGCAUCCCAGCAACGGUGCAGUGUCCUGGGGGAAUGAAGAACAGGCCUUGGGCGGAUGUUACGGCACACACAGGCAAAGAAGGGGGAGAUACACAUACACACACCUCCACUGAAGCUCGUCUGUUGCUGAGGGGGCCUCAACUGAGGCAAGCGAAGCCUGUCUGGGGUGCUGACUGAACAUCACUGCCAGGAAUUCCACAGGGGUGGUGCACAGGCGGGAAAUCACUCUUCAUGUCUCUGUGGUCUAAGACCCAGCAGGCAGUGACAAUCCCCUGCAUCAGCCUCAGGAGCACAACGGCAGAAGGUGUUAAUCAAAAUCUUGGAACCAUCUCCUGUAGCUAACAACCAUUCAUGUCAACAGAAGUGACUCGCAAAUCAACUUUUAGCUUUCUUGUACACCCGGAGGUUGAGAUACACUGAGUUCACUGUUGAUGUGCCCUCUCAUAAUCAAGGCACGGACACAUGUCUAUUCAGGGCGGCUCUCAGAGACAUGAUAUAGUUUGAUGACUUUGAUGCCUUGCAAUCAGAUGUUUCCAGGAAGGUUACAAGUUCAAACAAUGCAGCUUGACCAUUAAAGGAAGUAUUCUUUGCAUUUCAAAAAUCAUGUAACAAACAUAGCCGGCUCUAUUUUGUCUGGAGUUAUUUUCAGGUAUGUAUUGUUUGCUGAGGAAAUAAACUCCUGGAUGUAAAUCAGGCACCUUGGGUGUAGCUCAGGCAGGACAUGAAGAAGCCCUGGGGGGUCCAGAUUUGGCAGCGUGGCACAAUAAGGAUGUGAGGUAAGUUGGGGAACUUGCGUGGGGUUGAUAUUAUUUUUGGUUACUCUGGAAGAGAAACUGGAAAAAGGUUUUUCUCUGGACACAGACACGCAAGCAAGUUACAAGGGCAUGUGAAACAAUCACACAAAUACGCACAGACUGCCCUGUGUUUCACACAAUGAGUGUUUGCAUUAGGAAUCAUUUUCCAGUUGGCAUGGCACGUGAGAG